CCAAGGUACAGAUGGACAGCUAGGGAGAGGCAGGAGGGCUGGACAACCAUCUUCCCCUACCAGAGGCCAAGGUAGGCCAACUUGGUGCCCCAGAUGUGAAGAAGAAAGCCCCAGGGGUGUGGGCUGUAGUACAGGUGAGGGUGUACAUAUGUGUAUGUGUUCCUAUGUGUGAGUUAGGGGCUCCUCUGCAUGCAGGAUGCGUGUGCAAAUGCACAGGUUUGUACACAUGCUCUUGGGUACACAGAAGCGGAAAGGAUGUACGGUGGGUGUAGGGAGAAUUUGAGCUUCUGGUUGGCAGAGUGGGAAGGAAGGAGGGCCUGAGGUAUAGGCAGGACCAUUUGGAUCUGAGUUCCCCUUUGGUUCUCCCUGCCAGGCACUGCUUCAAACAUUGUUGGGAUGUCAGGAAGGGAGGACAGGCCUCACCAGUGGUAUUUGCAGGGCAGGUAAUACUGAGAUGAUGAAUGCAGAGGCCUGGCCUUCAGGCAUGGGAUUAGAUGUGAGGAGAGGCAUAGAGAGAGCAGGAAACUUCUAACGGACAUGAGUUCUGGGAGCCAAUGGGUCCCAGACAACUCCAAGCCUGGAAGCUUUAGUUUUGACGUUAGCAAGGUCCCAUGCAUUCCUUUGGGAAUGCAGGAACUAAAGCAGCCUCUCCCACUCCUCCCAAAAGCCCAGGCUUGAAGUACUCAAGGAAUUGAUGGAGUCUGCUCAGGCUCAGAAGCACACUGAAUUUGCCCUGUCCAGAGGCUGUUUUCACAGACCACCACCAACACAACAGAAUGAUCAUUUGUUGAAGGACUAUUUUAUUUCCACCCUCAUGUUCAUCUUGCAAGGUAAGUAUUGCUAACCCCGUUUACAUGUGGGGAAAUUGAAGAUUAAAGACAGUGAGUAAGUUGUGUAGCUGACCUGCAAAAGGGGGCACCAGGAUGGCAAAACAGUCUGCCUGGCUUCAGAGUCUGGGCGGUUCCUGUUCCAGUAGCCUGGCUGAGACUGAAUGCAGCCUCCUGGGAACUUGUGAACGUGUCUGUGCAUCCCCUUGUCCUUUGGUUGAAUGAAUGAAUG
rnacentral:lncRNA from 1 species